UUAGUAUAAAUGAUUAGCGAAUGGAUGACCAGGAUGUUGUAAGAGGACGUUAUAAAACGUAAAUCGGUGGGAGAAAAGAUGAAUACCGAAUUUCAAAAGAUUUCUUAGAAUUGAAACAUCUUAAUACUAGGAGUAAAAAAAAUCAAGCGAGAUUCCGUAAGUAGUGGCGAACGAGCGCGGAGAAUAUAGGAUCGGGGUCCAAAGAGGGUAACAGUCCCGAAGUCCUACCCAAGCCUAGGCUUGAAGGAUAUUGUUGACGAAGUAGAAUUGUUUGAAGAGUGGUGGACCAUACAUCUAAAACUAAAUAUUAUAACAUACCGAUAGUUAAAUAGUACUGUGAAGGAAAGUUGAAAGAGAUAACAGUGAAAUAGAUUCGGAAAUUUGCUAAUCACAAGCAGACGAGUAGCGUCGUACCUUUUGUAUAAUGGGUUCGCAAGAGAAAUAUUUGGCAAACUUAAGGGGAUAAACGGAGGUAUAGUGAAAACGAGUUUUCAUAGAGCUUUAGUCAAAUAUAACCCGAAACCAAGUGAUCUAACCAUGGGCAGUUUGAAACUCGUUUAAUUCACGGGUGAAGGAACGAACCGGUGUUUGUGGCAAAAAACUCGGAUGAUCUGUGGUUAGGGGUGAAAAGCCAAUCGUACUUGGAAAUAGCUGGUUUUCUGCGAAAACUAUUUAAGUAGUGCGUUAUAUUUAUUCUUGCAUGGUAAAGCACUGAAGAAGGUACCGCAUGUGUUCAUGAAGGGAUCUUAACCAAACUAUGAAAAUGUAAGAAGAAAAUAUGACAGACAGACAAUGGGCGAGAAGGUCCUUUGUCAAAAAGGAAACAACCAAGAUUAGUAGUUAAGGCCAUUAAAAUUAUCUAAGUGUAAAAGGGGAUUUUCUAAUUAAGAUAAUGAGGAAGUAGGCCUGGAGCCAGCCACCUUUGAAAGAUUACGUAACAGUUCACCCAAUAAAGUAUAAAACCCCUAAAAUUAUGGUGGCUUAAGUGGAUAUAAGCCGAAACUCUAAAGCCUACCCCCCUCGGGGGUGUAGCCCGCCUAUGGCGGCACAAUGAUGGUAGCAGAGCGUUCUGUUUAUUUCGAUUGCGGAAGCGGAUUCAGAAGUGAUAAUGCGAACAUGAGUAAAAAAACAGCGUGAGAAUCGCUGCCACGGCCCUGGGUUUCCAACCAGAGGAUUUUCCGGGUUGGGUUAUACAGCCCCUAAGAGAGAAACGACCGCUGCGAUGGGCAGGAAAUAAAAAGCGCCUAAGGCGUCGGAAGGAAUUAUUUAAUUGAUCUCUUGGGCUGUACUAAAACUAACACAAGUGGGCCCUAAAGGUGGUAGAACUUAUUUUAAGGAACUCGGCAAAAUGUCCCUGUAAGUUCGCAAGAAGGGGAGCCAGUUUUAACAGCGUAAAUCCUUGCCCUCGGGCAAGUUAAGGAUUAAUAUAUUAAGCUGGUCUCAGAAAAGAGGGGGUGUCGACUGUUUACCAAAAACAUAGCUUCCAGUUAAAAGCCUGAGGCUUGAAAUAUUGGAGGUGAGGCCUGCCCAAUGAUUGUAUCUAAAUUCAAGGAAUAAUAAAAGUAGCUUGAUUAAGGACAAUUAAAUGGCCGCGGUAAAUCUGACCGUGAUAAAGUAGCGCAAUCAAUAGCCAAUUAAUUGUUGGCAAGUAUGAAUGGCGUAACGAAUGCCCUACUGUCUCAAGAUAAGAACCAGUGAAAUUGAAUUUGUAGUGAAGAUGCUACGUACAAAUAGUUAGACGAGAAGACCCCAUUGAGCUUUACUGGAGACUUACAUUGUUUCGUACAAAUAAGCGCGGUGGGAAAUCCACUCGAAUAUUUGGCCGAAUCUAACUUGCCCUCGGGCACCGGCUCCGCCGGGACCCGUAGCCCGUAUAAAGGGCGUAUAGAGGGGGUUGAGGAGAGUUUAAGUCGGACAGUUUGGUUGGGGCGACCGCCUUCUAAAGAGUAACGAAGGUGUACAUAAGGUGUAUACUAUAAUAAGAUAAAGGAAAAAGCCAGACAGUGAGGAGGACCUUCGAGCUGACACGGGGAAGCCGUGGGUUAUAAUGACCCGUUAGUUUCGUGUGGAAGAGCUAACGAGCAACGAAUAAAAGUUACCAUGGGGAUAACAGCGUAAUAUCGUUCGAGAGCUCAUAUUGACGACGAUGUUUGCGACCUCGAUGUUGAAUUGUGGUAUCCUGGAGGUGCAGCAGCUUCCAAGGGUUGGACUGUUCGUCCAUUAAAACCGUACAUGAUUUGAGUUCAGACCGGCGUGAGCCAGGUCGGUUUCUAUCUACUAUUUGGGCAGGAAACAUAAAUAAAACUACAUUCUAGUACGAAAGGAUCGAGUGCUAGGUAUCCGCUGGUGACUCAAUUGAAGCAAAGGCGCGAUGCUAUGCUGUUGGGUAGCUACGAUAGAAGAAAU
rnacentral:rRNA from 1 species